GAUGAACGCUGGCGGCGUGCCUAACACAUGCAAGUCGAGCGAUUCUUUUCGGAGAAGAGCGGCGGACGGGUGAGUAACGCGUGGGUAACCUGCCCUGUACACACGGAUAACAUACCGAAAGGUAUGCUAAUACGAGAUAAUAUACUUUUAUCGCAUGGUAGAAGUAUCAAAGCUUUUGCGGUACAGGAUGGACCCGCGUCUGAUUAGCUAGUUGGUAAGGUAACGGCUUACCAAGGCGACGAUAAGUAGCCGACCUGAGAGGGUGAUCGGCCACAUUGGAACUGAGACACGGUCCAAACUCCUACGGGGGGCAGCAGUGGGGAAUAUUGCACAAUGGGCGAAAGCCUGAUGCAGCAACGCCGCGUGAGCGACGAAGGCCUUCGGGUCGUAAAGCUCUGUCCUCAAGGAAGAUAAUGACGGUACUUGAGGAGGAAGCCCCGGCUAACUACGUGCCAGCCGCCGCAGUAA
rnacentral:rRNA from 1 species